rnacentral:rRNA from 1 species
AGUGAACGCUGGCGGUAGGCCUAACACAUGCAAGUCGAACGGCAGCACAGUAAGAGCUUGCUCUUACGGGUGGCGAGUGGCGGACGGGUGAGGAAUAUAUCGGAAUCUACUUUUUCGUGGGGGUUAACGUAGGGAAACUUGCGCUAAUACCGCAUACGACCUACGGGUGAAAGCAGGGGAACUUCUGACCUUGCGCGAUUGAAUGAGCCGAUGUCGGAGUAGCUAGUUGGCGGGGUAAAUGCCCACCAAGGCGGCGAUACGUAGCUGGUCUGAGAGGAGGAUCAGCCCCACUGGAGCUGAGACACGGUCCAGGGUCCUACGGGCGGCAGCAGUGGCGAAUGUUGGACGAUGGGCGGAAGCCUGAUCCAGCCAUGCCGCGUGGGUGAAGAAAGCCUUCGGGUUGUAAAGCGCUUUUGUUGGGAAAGAAAGGCAGCAGGUUAAUACCCCGCUGUUCUGACGGUACCCAAAGAAUAAGCACCGGCUAACUUCGU